rnacentral:rRNA from 1 species
UAUCAGUCAUGCAUAGCAUAUCAAUAAGCGGAGGAAAAGAAACUAACAAGGAUUCCCUUAGUAACGGCGAGUGAAGGCGGGAAGAGCUCAAAUUUGAAAUCUUCAAGGUUUUACCUUGACGAAUUGUAGUUUAAAGAAGUGUUUUCUGUUGAAGUUUUGGUAAAAGUUCUUUGGAAUAGGACAUCAUAGAGGGUGAGAAUCCCGUAUUUGACCAUUACUUUCAGCUUUGUGAUACACUUUCAAAGAGUCGGAUUGUUUGGGAAUGCAGUCCAAAAUGGGUGGUAAAUUUCAUCUAAAGCUAAAUAUUGGCGAGAGACCGAUAGCGAACAAGUACCGUGAGGGAAAGAUGAAAAGAACUUUGAAAAGAGAGUUAAACAGUACGUGAAAUUGUCAAAAGGGAGGCGUUUGACACCAGUGUUGUUUUCUCGAAAAUCAAUUAAAAAGAGUUGGAUUUUGUGUUGUAUUGACUUUAUCAGGCUUUCUUCACUCUUUUCCAGCUUUUUUUAAUGCACUUUUCGUUUAACAAGUCAACAUCGGUUUCUUUUGUUGUAAAAAGGUCAUUGGAAGGUGGCUUUCUCUUCGGAGAAAGUGUUUAUAGCCUUUGACUCAUGCAAUCGGAGAGACUGAGGUCUGCAGCGUAGAUCCUUCGGGGUUAGAUACAUUUGUGCUAAGUUAUAGCUUUUCAUAGACAACUUGUUGACUAUGUUUAGUCUUGUAGCUUACUCGCUUAUGCUAUUUUACCUACGCUUAGGAUGUUGAACUCUAUCACACACAG